CCCUGGCGGCGAGCGGCGAACGGGUGAGUAAUGCAUCGGAACGUAUCCUUGAGUGGGGGAUAACCCAGCGAAAGUUGGGCUAAUACCGCAUGAGCUCUGAGGAGGAAAGCGGGGGACCUGAAAGGGCCUCGCGCUGGAGGAGCGGCCGAUGUCCGAUUAGCUAGUUGGUGGGGUAAAGGCUUACCAAGGCGACGAUCGGUAGCUGGUCUGAGAGGAUGAUCAGCCACACUGGGACUGAGACACGGCCCAGACUCCUACGGGAGGCAGCAGUGGGGAAUUUUGGACAAUGGGGGCAACCCUGAUCCAGCCAUGCCGCGUGAGUGAAGAAGGCCUUCGGGUUGUAAAGCUCUUUCGGACGGAACGAAAUGGGCGGGACUAAUACUCCUGUCCGAUGACGGUACCGUAAGAAGAAGCACCGGCUAACUACGUGCCAGCAGCCGCGGUAAUACGUAGGGUGCGAGCGUUAAUCGGAAUUACUGGGCGUAAAGCGUGCGCAGGCGGUUUCGUAAGCUGGAGGUGAAAUCCCCGGGCUUAACCUGGGAAUGGCCUUCAGGACUGCGAGGCUAGAGUGCGGCAGAGGGAGGUGGAAUUCCACGUGUAGCAGUGAAAUGCGUAGAGAUGUGGAGGAACACCGAUGGCGAAGGCAGCCUCCUGGGCCAGCACUGACGCUCAUGCACG
rnacentral:rRNA from 1 species